GAGGAAACGUCAUGAAAACAGCUGCACAGGUUGCAGCAAGUCUUCAUUUCACAAGAGGUAUCGGAAGGAUUAAAGAUUAUACUGCUCCUACAGAUCAUCAAGCGGCAAGACUGGCUGGUGUUUCACCUGAAGCACCGACAUUCACACAUGUGGUAAGGUCUUAUUGGGUAGCAGUUAUUAAGGGAUAAUCAGCAACAUGCUUCUGACGAACAGAAAAACCUCCGGGCCUGUCGCCCGUUGUCAGGGUCUGUGACUUGGGCCGGUGUCAGA